CAUACACCCACGUGCAAAGAUUUCCCUGCACACACACCUCUGUAUUCACACACACGUGCAAUCACAACCUUGCACAGCCCUGUGUGCGCACUCCAUCCAUGUGCACACAAAAGUGUGAUAAAACAAAAGGCCUUGUGCAAAGACCUUGAUGCACUCUCCCGUGUUCAUGCAUACACACACAUGCGUGCACUCCAUCCCUUUGCACACCCACGUGCACGAUGACACAAGCACUGCUCCGGCCUUGCACACAGCCAUGUGCAUGCACACACAUGCAAAACUUUCACCUGCAAGCACUGUGCACACAGCCACGCGCAAUGCACGCUCUGAUGUUCAGCACCAUCUCUGCACACCCCCGUAUGCACGCAUACCUGCACUCACAGCUCGAGGACAAAAUGCUGCUGGCACGGCACAUCCAACACGCAGGCGGUGGGCAAUGUCAGGAGGAAAGGUGCCCCCUUAGGCUCAUUCAUUCUCCUCUCUUGAAUGAACGCAUUCGGGCAAAGCUGGAGCCCCAUCCUGAGAUGUGGAUUGCUGCGGGGUUCCUCGUCGGUAGGAUAUGGGGAUCCUGGGAUGGUGAUGGUGGUCCUCCUAGAAACUGUGGGAGUCCAAGAAGCCAGGGCGGACGGGGCUGAAGAGGUUAAGGAUGUCUGAAGGAGGAAAUAGGGGAGUUCAGUGGGAGCUCAGAGGGGGACGUGGGGUGCUGCUGGGGACUGUGGGGCUCUGUGAGGUCCCAGGUUGCUGGGGGGAGGUGUACCGGGAGAAGGUCCUUGAGGAGCUAUGGGGCUCUGUGGGGGUUGUGGGAGGGAUAUAGGGACAUCGGGGGAUAUGGGAACACAGGCUGCAGGAGCAGAAUGCUGUCCAAGAGAAGACAAGAUGUGGGCUGCAGGUGGGACACAGGGACAUGGGGUAGUAUGGAGACAGAGGGGGUAUGGGAGGAUGUGGGGAGCAGUUUGAGGUAAAAAGAGGGGGGGGGAUGGGCAGAGUUGCAGUGGUUUCAAUUCAUCCUGAGAGGGGACUGGGCGUCCCUGUGGCCCAAAAAUGGGGCCCUGAGCCGUAAACCCACAUGAGCCAUAACCCAAGAUGACCUCAUCGCCCUCUAUGUGCGUGACUGCAUGGCUGCACGUGACCCACAGCCCUGGGGGAAUCAUACCCCCACAUGACCCUGUGACUCCCUGACUCUGCCUGCCCCCAUCACGCUGCGACCCAAUUCCAUUUGGCCCCAUAACUCUGGGAUCCCUGCCCCCACCUCUCCCAACCAUACAACCCAUGUGACCCGUAACUCCAUGUCACCCCAUCUGACCCCAUCACUGUGACUCAGAACCCCACCUGAACCCAUAGCCCCACAUCACCUUGUAACUCUGUGACCCCGCAGGACCCCCAUGUGACCCACGACCCCACGUCCUCACCCCAUGUGUUCG
rnacentral:lncRNA from 1 species